AGCGAACGCUUGGAGGCAGGCUUAACACAUGCAAGUCGAACGGGCGUAGCAAUACGUCAGUGGCAGACGGGUGAGUAACGCGUGGGAACAUACCUCUUGGUUCGGAACAACACAGGGAAACUUGUGCUAAUACCGGAUAAGCCCUUACGGGGAAAGAUUUAUCGCCGAGAGAUUGGCCCGCGUCUGAUUAGCUAGUUGGUGGGGUAAAGGCCUACCAAGGCGACGAUCAGUAGCUGGUCUGAGAGGAUGAUCAGCCACAUUGGGACUGAGACACGGCCCAAACUCCUACGGGAGGCAGCAGUGGGGAAUAUUGGACAAUGGGCGCAAGCCUGAUCCAGCCAUGCCGCGUGAGUGAUGAAGGCCCUAGGAUUGUAAAGCUCUUUUGUACGGGAAGAUAAUGACGGUACCGUAAGAAUAAGCCCCGGCUAACUUCGUGCCAGCAGCCGCGGUAAUACGAAGGGGGCUAGCGUUGCUCGGAAUCACUGGGCGUAAAGGGUGCGUAGGCGGGUUUUUAAGUCAGAGGUGAAAUCCUGGAGCUCAACUCCAGAACUGCCUUUGAUACUGAAAGUCUUGAGUAUGGGAGAGGUGAGUGGAACUGCGAGUGUAGAGGUGAAAUUCGUAGAUAUUCGCAAGAACACCAGUGGCGAAGGCGGCUCACUGGCCCAUAACUGACGCUGAGGCACGAAAGCGUGGGGAGCAAACAGGAUUAGAUACCCUGGUAGUCCACGCCGUAAACGAUAAAUGCCAGCCGUUAGUGGGUUUACUCACUAGUGGCGCAGCUAACGCUUUAAGCAUUCCGCCUGGGGAGUACGGUCGCAAGAUUAAAACUCAAAGGAAUUGACGGGGGCCCGCACAAGCGGUGGAGCAUGUGGUUUAAUUCGACGCAACGCGCAGAACCUUACCAGCCCUUGACAUGUCUAUGACCGGUACCAGAGAUGGAACCUUCCCUUCGGGGCAUAGAGCACAGGUGCUGCAUGGCUGUCGUCAGCUCGUGUCGUGAGAUGUUGGGUUAAGUCCCGCAACGAGCGCAACCCCCGUCCUUAGUUGCUACCAUUUAGUUGAGCACUCUAAGGAGACUGCCGGUGAUAAGCCGCGAGGAAGGUGGGGAUGACGUCAAGUCCUCAUGGCCCUUACGGGCUGGGCUACACACGUGCUACAAUGGCGGUGACAAUGGGAUGCAAAAGGGCGACCUCUCGCAAAUCUCAAAAAGCCGUCUCAGUUCGGAUUGGGCUCUGCAACUCGAGCCCAUGAAGUUGGAAUCGCUAGUAAUCGUGGAUCAGCAUGCCACGGUGAAUACGUUCCCGGGCCUUGUACACACCGCCCGUCACACCAUGGGAGUUGGUUCUACCUGAAGGCAGUGCGCUAACCGCAAGGGGGCAGCUGACCACGGUAGGGUCAGCGAUCUGGGGUG
rnacentral:rRNA from 1 species